GUUGAGUACAGAAUAUCUUUCGGGGGCUGAUAUGAUACCUCAGUUAAGGGAUGUUUGACUUCGAAUCCAAGAAUUAUUGGCAUUGCUCCAUGGUUUGAACCUAGCAAAGGAAAAAUAAAGUAAAACAGUUGCUGGUGGAAACUGACUCUCAGGUCACUAAUCCAGCAGAUGGAGGAGGCAUCUCUGCAACACAUUCAGAGGGAGGCUAACUGAUCAGUGGCGGACCUACUAGCAGAUUACGGAAGGACAACAAAGGAUCCAAAUAUGAAUAUAAACCAGCUUAGCCUUUUUGAUGCAUCUCCUUCCUUUAUAUUAAAAACUCUCAAAAGAGAUUCUACUGGAACUACAUCGCUUAGAUCAAUUCCUUUUUUGUAAUGGAUAAACCUUAUAUUAAAUAAAUAAAAUCCUUUCAUUCUUAAGCAAAAAAAAA